rnacentral:lncRNA from 1 species
GGCUUGUUCUGUCCGCCCAUAGCAACGCCCCCGGCUUGUUCUGUCCGCCCAUAGCAACGCCCCCGGCUUGUUCUGUCCGCCCAUAGCAACACCCCCGGCUUGUUCUGUCUGCCCAUAGCAACACCCUUGUUCUGUCUGCCCAUAGCAACACCCUUGUUCUGUCUGCCCAUAGCAACGCCCUUGUUCUGUCUGCCCAUAGCAACACUAUUAUUCUACAAUAAAGAAAAACCCUUGGAUGAGUAGAUUUGUCCAAACCUUGACUGGUGCUGUAUGUGAUAUGAAUGACCAAAGGGGUCUGAUUUUAAACUAAGUACAGGGCUUUCAUCAAGGUUAGGGGCUUUCAUCAAGGUUAGGGGCUUUCAUCAAGGUUAGGGGCUUUCAUCAAGGUUAGGGGCUUUCAUCAAGGUUGGGGGCUUUCAUCAAGGUUAGUGUUUCUGUAGGUUAGGGGGCUUUCAUCAAGGUUAGUGUUUCUGUAGGUUAGGGGGCUUUCAUCAAGGUGUUUCUGUAGGUUAGGGGGCUUUCAUCAAGGUGUUUCUGUAGGUUAGGGGGCUUUCAUCAAGGUGUUUCUGUAGGUUAGGGGGCUUUCAUCAAGGUGUUUCUGUAGGUUAGGGGGCUUUCAUCAAGGUGUUUCUGUAGGUUAGGGGGCUUUCAUCAAGGUGUUUCUGUAGGUUAGGGGGCUUUCAUCAAG